AAAGCAGGGGAUCGCAAGACCUUGCGCUUUUGGAGUGGCCGAUGCCUGAUUAGCUAGUUGGUGGGGUAAGGGCCUACCAAGGCGACGAUCAGUAGUUGGUCUGAGAGGACGACCAGCCACACUGGGACUGAGACACGGCCCAGACUCCUACGGGAGGCAGCAGUGGGGAAUUUUGGACAAUGGGCGAAAGCCUGAUCCAGCAAUGCCGCGUGAGUGAAGAAGGCCUUCGGGUUGUAAAGCUCUUUCAGUCGAGAAGAAAAGGUCGCGACUAAUAAUCGCGACUCAUGACGGUAUCGACAGAAGAAGCACCGGCUAACUACGUGCCAGCAGCCGCGGUAAUACGUAGGGUGCGAGCGUUAAUCGGAAUUACUGGGCGUAAAGGGUGCGCAGGCGGCUUUUUAAGUCAGAUGUGAAAUCCCCGGGCUUAACCUGGGAAUUGCGUUUGAAACUACAAGGCUAGA
rnacentral:rRNA from 1 species